CCAGAAAUGUCAACAAACACAAUAAAGGUCAUAUAGACAAAUUAUUUCCUUAUUUUGAUUUAUUUUACUAAUAAUUAUUGUUAUUAACAGUUCAUAAUUUGGUGACGAAUAUAACAUUAUCCAAAAUGAAGACACGAUUUAAUACCUACGAUAUAGUAUGCAUGGUCACGGAAUUACAAAGUUUAAUUGGCAUGCGAGUGAAUCAAGUGUACGACAUAGACAAUCGUACAUAUGUGAUACGUCUCCAGCGGUCCGAGGAGAAGAGGGUGCUGCUACUGGAGUCUGGCAACAGGUUCCACACCACACAUUUUGAAUGGCCCAAGAAUGUCGCUCCUUCUGGGUUUACUAUGAAAUUACGUAAACACUUGAAGAACAAGCGUCUAGAAAGCUUCACGCAGCUCGGUAUAGAUCGUAUAGUGGAUUUGCAAUUUGGAAGCGGCGAGGCUGCCUACCACGUCAUCUUAGAGCUGUACGAUCGGGGAAACAUCGUGCUCACAGAUUACGAAUGGACCAUACUGAAUGUCCUGAGACCUCAUGUGGAAGGUGAUAAAAUCAGAUUUGCAGUAAAGGAGAAAUAUCCGCUAGACAGGGCGAAAACUAGCUAUGCAGCGCCAUCUAGUGACGCACUCAAAGAUAUCCUAUCGAGGAGCAAGCCUGGGGAUAACUUGAAGAAAAUCCUCAAUCCUAAUCUAGAGUUUGGAGCUGCAAUAAUAGACCAUGUGUUACUUGAGAACGGACUGUCAGGUAACCUGAAGGUCAGCACGGAUCCCAACAAGGGUUUCUUUGUGGAAAGAGAUCUCGACAAGCUGACAACAGCGCUGAAGAAAGCGGAGCAAUUGCUGGAUGCAGCGAGACUGGAAGUUGCGAAAGGCUUCAUAACUCAGAAGAAGGAGGAAAGACCUAACCCAGAGGGAGAUGAGCCCAUUUACUUCUUCACCAACAUUGAGUUUCAUCCGAUGUUGUACUCCCACCACCGAGGCCAGCCACACCAGGAAUAUGAGACCUUCGACCGGGCUGUGGACGAGUUCUUCUCCGCUUUAGAAGGCCAGAAGAUUGAUUUGAAGACUGUUCAAAUAGAAAGGGAAGCUAUGAAGAAGCUUCACAACGUACGGAAAGACCACGAGAAACGAGUCACGGAACUGACCCAUGUGCAAGUCGAGGACAAGAAGGCGGCAGAACUUAUAUCACGCAACGAGCCCCUCAUAGAACAAGCACGGCUCGCAAUACAGACAGCUAUAGCUAAUCAGAUGUCGUGGGAUGACAUCAAACAACUGGUAAAGACUGCUCAAGACAACAAUGACCCAAUAGCCUCCAGCAUCAAGGAUCUCAAACUAAACAUCAACCACAUCACACUGCUGCUGAACGACCCUUACCAGACCAGUGAUGAUGAUGAUGCUGAGAGUGGUGAUGAGAAACUGAAGCCGAUGCUAGUGGAUAUAGAUUUGUCACUGACUGCUUUUGCUAAUGCUAGAAGGUACUACGAUCAGAAACGUAACGCUGCGAAAAAACAACAGAAAACCCUGGAGUCAGCGGGUAAAGCUCUUAAAAGCGCUGAACGAAAAACAAAGCAGACAUUGAAGGAAGCGCACACGAUCAGCAGCAUCAGUAAAGCGCGGAAAACUUACUGGUUCGAGAAGUUCUAUUGGUUCAUAUCUUCUGAUAAUUAUUUGGUGAUAGCGGGCCGCGACCAGCAGCAGAACGAGUUGCUGGUGAAGCGUCACCUGCGGGCCGGCGACGCGUACGUGCACGCAGAGCUGGCCGGAGCAGCCUCCGUGCUCGUCAAGAACCCCGCCGCACACGCCCUGCCGCCGCGCACGCUGGCCGAGGCCGGGCAGGCCGCCGUCGCAUACAGCGUGGCGUGGGAGGCGAAGGUGGUGACCCGCGCGUGGUGGGUGCACGCCCACCAGGUCUCCAAGACGGCGCCCACCGGCGAGUACCUCACCACCGGCUCCUUCAUGAUCCGCGGCAAGAAGAACUACCUGCUGCCGGACCAGCUGCACUUCGGGUUUAGCUUCAUGUUCCGGUUGGAGGACAGCUGUAUAGAGCGUCAUCGUGACGAACGGCGCGCAGCAAUCGCUGAUGACGUGUCGGAGGUCACCUCCACACUAGAAGAAGACCAAGAGAUCAUAGUCUCCGAUGACGAUGAACCAUCAGAUAAGGAAGAUGAGAAGUCAUCAGGCAAGUUAGACACAAUAGCAGAAGAAACCAGAAAGUUAGGCAUAAAACAAACUAAUGGUAUACAGCUUGGAGAAGAAGUAGAGAAGGAGACGGUAGAAGAUGCAAACAAUGAGGAAAAACAGGAGAAAGAAAGUGAAGAGAGUGAAACAGACAGUGAUGACAGCGACGGAGUUUUCCCAGACACACAUAUUAAGGUGGACCAUGGGACAGGCCAAGUGAUUUUAGAAACCAAGACCAGAACUAUAUCAGAGGUGUCAGAUACAAGUGAUAAUAAAACAUUUUCAUUCCCAUCUCUGCCGAAAAAGGGCGGUAAGAAACCACAAAAACCAAAAGAACAGAAGAAAAAUGAAGAGAGACAAGAGAAGAAAGACGGAAUGAAGCGCGGGCAGCGCGGGAAAUUGAAGAAGAUUAAAGAGAAAUACAGGGAUCAGGAUGAUGAGGAUAGAGUUAUCGCUACGGAAUUGUUAAAGGCUGCCAAUCAGGCGAAGGAUUCGAAAAAGGCGCAGAAGAAAGCUGCCGCAGCUAAGGCGAAUAAGGUGAAGACGGGUCCCCGAGGUCCCAAGAUCCCGCAGCCGACGCCCCUCAUACUCGAGGUCGAGUCCGGAGGCGAGGAACUUGACCCCGAACCAGAGGUUGAACAGGGUGAGCAGGGUGCGGAUAUAGACACGGAGCUGCUGUCUCAGCUGACGGGCUGCCCACUGCCGGAGGACGAACUUCUAUUCGCAGUGCCGGUAGUCGCGCCUUACUCAGCACUACACAACUACAAGUACAGUACUCAUUCUUUCUUACACGUUUUUUCUUACUUAUGUAUUGAGCCAUGAUGUCCCACUCCAUAACUAUAAGUACUCAACGUUUGUCCCGGUCGUAGCGCCCUACUCCGCACUACACAACUACAAGUACAAAGUUAAGCUAACGCCUGGCAGCAGUAAACGCGGGAAAGCAGCCAAGACGGCGGUGCAAGUGUUCCUGCGGGAUAAGACAGGAACCAACCGCGAAAGGGACCUCCUCAAAGCGGUUAAGGAGGAAAACGUCGCCAGAAACUUCCCAGGGAAGGUCAAAUUGUCCGCGCCACAGUUGCACAAGCAUAAGAAAUGAUCACAUCUACUCUAUAGUAUUAAUUUCGUCCAUAAAUAAUGUAAUAUUUUUUAGCAAUUUUCCAGAUCAUUCUUUUUUAUUUUUCACCUUUCUCGAGUCUAUGAAACAACUUACUGACAUUGACGACUAUAUGUCAUCGACCUACCGAUAGGAAAUAUUAAAAAAAAAAAAAACAGUAUACAUGUUAAAAUAAAUCAAUGGGUCUAGAAAAGUUGACUUGGUAUUUAUCUGUAUUUUAUUGCAAUUAAAUCAAAUAAAUUAUAAUUUCAAUAUUGCUUGAUGACGCCUCGUUUAGAGGAUAAACACGUGUCGCAAUAUGGAGUAGAUCGGAUAACGGAAUUUGAUCAUUAAUAAAGGUGAUAACGCUCUGAGUAUUUGUGGUAAUAUGCUCAAUCGUUCAAUCAAAAUAUCUUUAUUCAUGUAGGUCUAUUACAGACUCUUAUGAUAUG